UCUGUGAGUAACCAUUUCUUUUUUUUAUGUGCGCUUGCAAAUGUACUGAUUAGAUUUGACUGACCUUUUAUUUACUGCAAUAACAGUCUACAUCUCUGUUAGCGUAUCCUCGAAAGUGCAGUGUUCAUUUCAGCCGUGGCAGUAAAGUGUCGAGGGGAGAUAGAGAAAGGAGUUCCCAUUAAAAUCUGCAAGAAAUGUUGAUGGAAUAAAAUGUGUGAGUUUGUGCAUGUCCUGUAUUUGAAUAUCUGUUCAAAAGGCCUGCAAAGAUUUAGCCAGCUUGUUUCAGUUCCACCUGCUGGACAUGUGGAUAGACAGAGCGGCAGCAGCUGCAGUCAAUUAAGACUAAUUAGUGAGUUGAGUGAAGAGGGUGACACUGUUCCCGAAGGGUCUGGUCUUAUCUUCAAUGUUUUACUCACUAUAAACAUACUAUUGCGCAAUCCUCCUCCUCCCCGUCACCACCAUGACCUCCAUGAUAUCCACUGACACCCAUCUGAAGGUUUCCAUCAACAACCACCACCAGCAUCUAGACUCUGAGGGGAUCCUGUCUUAUCUCCUACCUUCAUAAGGGCUUUAUGAAAAUGCUUCAAACAAAUUGAGUCUCCAAGAAUCUUUUUGUUCCUAACAUCAAAAAAUAUUGUUAUACACCUCCAACUGAUCUCUUCUUAUGAGCUGGACUUCCUGGAUCAUAUUUCAUUGCUCCCAGUACCUUAAUUAACAUGCCUCCACUAAUGCUUCCCCCUGUGUUAUUUAGUUGCAGGGUUGUUUUCAGUCUGAAUCCCCGCUUAGGCAACCGUGACUAGGCACGGCAGGCUUGUCAGUCUUUGGAACAUCUAAUUGAUGUCAGUGAAAGCCGGCUUACUUCCUUGAAUUUAUGUCUCAUAAAGGAGAUUUAAACAACUUUAGAAUAUUUAAUUUCCAACCUUUGGUGAUUUGAUGUGAUACAAACUAAUCCAAAACCUGAGUUGAAUCAGUAUGUUUCAUGUAGAAGAUGUAGAGCGGGAACACUGAGUGCUUUGUUAACGGCGGUGACGACAUGAUUAUGAUCCGUUGUGGCACAGAGAUUUAACAGGCGUGUUACCAGGCAGAUGUGGCAGGAUGUGAAUCAGCUGCCACUGUGAGACUUGACCAAGAGGAAGUGGACAUAAGGUCAUCCUUCACUGCAUCCGUCUGAAGCCAGCGGCUUUUUGUUCCACCUGUGGUCUCUAAUUGGAGAGAUGACGCCCACCGGAAAGCCACAGUUUUGUGCAACCAAACUUGCCAGUUAUGAUUAAUUAUUCAACACUGUUUCCACUGCGGUAUGGAGUUGAAGCAGGGGCAUGUAACACUGUGUCAUUUACAGAAAAAUAGACAUCAUGUACUAAUUAUGAGGAAUAAUGUCAUUUAUGUAUAAUGUAAAUAGUAAUGAAGCAACAAUAGACUCAUCAGUAUGUUGUUUGAUCCGUCCAACCCUCUGAUAUUGUAGCUGUAUUGAUCACUGCUGCCUCCAGGGGACACUAGCAGGACUUUAGACUGAUAGUGUUGUUGCCUCACCUGACUCACAGGCUGGAUGAGAUGUUUGUAUGAAUGAGACUCUAUAAAGUGGAAACUGAAUGCUAUUCAGUCCACAAAGUUCACACACACACACACGCACCCACACACACACACACA